AUUUAAGUAGCUUAAUGUUAAAGCAACAGCCUUGUAAACUGUCGGACAGAAGUUAAUAACCUCUCUUAAAUU
rnacentral:tRNA from 1 species